UGGUACCUGGUGGCCGUCUGGCUCCAUGGAGCGGACCAGAACCAGAUGGUGACCCGCUGAAGUUUCAGAACCGGACCUGACGGCAUUGGUUCCGUCCCGCUUUGUUUCAGAGGAGGUGUCUGCUGCUGGAGCAGAACCGGGCCCGGCUGGAGGAGGAGGCGACCCGUCUCAGGAAGAAAAUCCACUUCACCGCCAGAGAGGAGGAGCGGCGCUGGGCCCGGCAGAACCGGACCGCCUGCAGGCCCGACUCUGCAGCCCAGCAGCGCAUCCAGGCCAAGCUGAAGCAGCACCAGGAGUUCUUCCCUGCCUUCCACAGCCUGAUGACCCGGAUCCUGGAGGUUCUGGGUGUGACGCGGAUGGACCAGGUCCUUCCUGCGCUGCAGACCCUGAAGCAGGCGGCGCCGUCCUCCGUCGACCCGGAUCUGGUUUCCAUAGCGACGCCGUCUUCAUGAGCUCCUGGUUCUUCAACUACCGGUUCCCACGGCAACCAACAACGUCAUCGACAGAACCAAGUGGACCGGGACGGGUUCUGUUCUAAAGGAGAACAUCUGGACCACCCCAUGGCUCCACCAAUGGGUGGCCUCCCCUGUGGCCCCGCCCACCCCGCUGAGCUGUUAAUGAGGCAGUCCCCCUGUGAGCCAGAGGGGGGCAGCAGAGAGCCGUCCUCUGGUUCUGAUCCAUAAACUGAACAAUAAACUUUGAUUCUGAUCGGUUCUGGUUUCUGUUUGCUGGGGAAGAAGGAGGGUUUAGGUUCUGCUGCUUAUUUAUCUGAUUAAAAUAAUAAAAAAGCAGCAAUAAUUAACAUGUAUAUUAUUAAUAAUUAUCAAUAACGCCUGCAGGGGCGGGAACUCUGAAAUAUGGCAGGCUGUUUUCAGAUUUAAUGAAAGCCCUCUCUGUUGUUCCAUUUGUAGAUCAAUAUUCCACUGCUAGACUGCG